rnacentral:rRNA from 1 species
CAUAAUCUCUGAGGAGAAAAGCAGGGGAUCGCAAGACCUUGCGCUUUUGGAGCGGCCGAUGCCUGAUUAGCUUGUUGGUAAGGUAAAAGCUUACCAAGGCUUCGAUCAGUAGCUGGUCUGAGAGGACGGCCAGCCACACUGGGACUGAGACACGGCCCAGACUCCUACGGGAGGCAGCAGUGGGGAAUUUUGGACAAUGGGGGCAACCCUGAUCCAGCCAUGCCGCGUGAGUGAAGAAGGCCUUCGGGUUGUAAAGCUCUUUCAGCCGGAACGAAACGGUUACGGUUAAUACCCGUGACUAAUGACGGUACCGGAAGAAGAAG